CCUACGGGGUGCAGCAGUGAGGAAUAUUGGUCAAUGGACGAGAGUCUGAACCAGCCAAGUCGCGUGAAGGAUGACGGCCCUAUGGGUUGUAAACUUCUUUUAUAUGGGAAUAAAACGUUCCAAGUGUGGGAUUUUGUAUGUACCAUAUGAAUAAGGAUCGGCUAACUCCGUGCCAGCAGCCGCGGUAAUACGGAGGAUCCGAGCGUUAUCCGGAUUUAUUGGGUUUAAAGGGAGCGUAGGUGGUUUGUUAAGUCAGUUGUGAAAGUUUGCGGCUCAACCGUAAAAUUGCAGUUGAUACUGGAAGCCUUGAGUAUAGUAGAGGUAGGCGGAAUGCGUGGUGUAGCGGUGAAAUGCUUAGAUAUCACGAAGAACUCCGAUUGCGAAGGCAGCCUGCUGGACUGUAACUGACGCUGAUGCUCGAAAGCGUGGGUAUCAAACAGGAUUAGAUACCCCAGUAGUC
rnacentral:rRNA from 1 species